UACGUAGGGGGCAAGCGUUGUCCGGAUUUAUUGGGCGUAAAGCGCUCGCAGGUGGUUCAUUGCGUCGUGCGUGAAAGACCCCGGCUCAACUGGGGAGGGUCGUGCGAAACGGGUGAACUAGAGGCCAGUAGGGGGAUGCGGAAUUCCGGGUGUAGUGGUGGAAUGCGUAGAGAUCCGGAGGAACACCAGCGGCGAAGGCGGCAUCCUGGACCAACAUUGACGCUGAGGCACGAAAGCGUGGGGAGCAAACAGG
rnacentral:rRNA from 1 species